rnacentral:lncRNA from 1 species
CGCUCAUCUGAAGGUACUUGGAUUUUUGGUUUUGCUGGUCAUGCGGGUGUUGGUGAUAGCCUCCGUGCGGAGCUGUUGGCAAUCCUUCGGGGCUUGACUCUGUGUUGGGAGCAUGGUUACAGAAGUGUGGGUGAUUCACGGAUUCUAUGUUGGCUUUGGCGCUUUUGAUUUCUGAUCAUCCUCCGGUUCACCAGUAUGCUUGUAUUAUUAGUAGCAUUAAGAGUCUUCUUCGCCGGAGUUGGGUAGUCCACUGCCACCAUUUGCUUCGCGAAGGAAAUGUUGUUGCUGAUUUCUUGGCCAAGCUCGGAGCGUCUAAUAUGAGCUCGACUUGAUUUUGGGAUUCUCCUUUGGCUAGUGUCACGUCUUUGCUGCACGCUGAUGCCCUUGGUGUUGCCUUCUUAAGGCACUAGCCUCCCGUCUGUUUUGUUUUCUUUCUUUUGCUUCUUUUAUCGAAGAAAAAAACUUCAGAUGUAUUUUUAAAGUUUUCUAGUAUCCUACCUACAAGUGUAAUAUUUUUUACAUAAGUAUCUUCCACUUAAGACAAUCAUUUUCAA